rnacentral:rRNA from 1 species
AUUGAACGCUGGCGGCAGGCCUAACACAUGCAAGUCGAACGGUAACAGGAAGAAGCUUGCUUCUUUGCUGACGAGUGGCGGACGGGUGAGUAAUGUCUGGGAAACUGCCUGAUGGAGGGGGAUAACUACUGGAAACGGUAGCUAAUACCGCAUAACGUCGCAAGACCAAAGAGGGGGACCUUCGGGCCUCUUGCCAUCGGAUGUGCCCAGAUGGGAUUAGCUAGUAGGUGGGGUAACGGCUCACCUAGGCGACGAUCCCUAGCUGGUCUGAGAGGAUGACCAGCCACACUGGAACUGAGACACGGUCCAGACUCCUACGGGAGGCAGCAGUGGGGAAUAUUGCACAAUGGGCGCAAGCCUGAUGCAGCCAUGCCGCGUGUAUGAAGAAGGCCUUCGGGUUGUAAAGUACUUUCAGCGGGGAGGAAGGGAGUAAAGUUAAUACCUUUGCUCAUUAACGUUACCCGCAGAAGAAGCACCGGCUAACUCCGUG